UACGUAGGGUGCGAGCGUUGUCCGGAAUUAUUGGGCGUAAAGGGCUCGUAGGCGGUUUGUCGCGUCGGGAGUGAAAACCUUGGGCUUAACUCAGGGCUUGCUUUCGAUACGGGCAGACUAGAGGUAUGCAGGGGAGAACGGAAUUCCUGGUGGAGCGGUGAAAUGCGUAGAGAUUGGAAAGAACACCGAUGGCGAAGGCACUUUACUGGGCUAUUACUAACACUCAGAGACGAAAGCUAGGGUAGCAAAUGGG
rnacentral:rRNA from 1 species